rnacentral:rRNA from 1 species
GCGUGAGUGACGAAGGCCUUAGGGUUGUAAAGCUCUUUUAGCAGGGAAGAUAAUGACGGUACCUGCAGAAUAAGCCCCGGCUAACUUCGUGCCAGCAGCCGCGGUGAUACGAAGGGGGCUAGCGUUGUUCGGAAUUACUGGGCGUAAAGCGCACGUAGGCGGAUCAUUUAGUCAGGGGUGAAAUCCCGGGGCUCAACCUCGGAACUGCCUUUGAUACUGAUGGUCUCGAGUCCGAUAGAGGUGAGUGGAAUUCCUAGUGUAGAGGUGAAAUUCGU